UACGUAGGGUGCAAGCGUUGUUCGGAAUCAUUGGGCGUAAAGAGCGUGUAGGUGGCUUACCAAGUCGAUUGUGAAAGCCCUCGGCUCAACCGGGGAAGUGCAGUCGAAACUGGUAGGCUCGAGGACGGUAGAGGAAGGUGGAAUUCCUAGUGUAGAGGUGAAAUUCGUAGAUAUUGGGAAGAACACCGGUGGCGAAGGCGGCGAGCUGGUCCAUUACUGACGCUGAGGCGCGACAGCGUGGGGAGCAAACAGG
rnacentral:rRNA from 1 species